GACGAACGCUGGCGGCGUGCCUAAUACAUGCAAGUAGAACGCACAGUUUAUACUGUCGCUUGCUUUACCCUACACUGUGAGUUGCGAACGGGUGAGUACCGCGUAGGUAACCUGCCUGGCAGCGGGGGAUAACUACUGGUACCGCUAGCUAAUACCGCAUAAUAUUAAUUAUUGCAUGAUCAUUGAUUUAUAGAUGCAAUUGCAUCCCUAUUAGCUGGAUCUGCGUUGUAUUAGCUAGUAGGUGAGGUAACGGCUCACCUAGGCGACGGAACAUAGCCGACCCGAGAGGGAGGACGACCAAACUGGGACUGGGACACGGCCCAGACCCCUACGGGAAGCAGCAGGAGGGGAUCUUCGGAAAUGGACGAAAGGCUGACCGAGGAACGCCGCGGGAGGGGAGAAGGGUCUCGGAUCGUAAAGCUCCGUUGUGUGAGAAGAACGGGUGGGAGGGUGGAAAGUUCACACUGUGACGGUAUCUAAACAGAAAGGGACGGCUAACUACGUG
rnacentral:rRNA from 1 species